AGACAGUCUAUGCUUCAGUCAUACACUACAGGGCCUGGGUAACAUAUACCAGUGGGGACACAUGAAUUGUCCUGGGAGAGGGCAGAAUCAAAGGGACAGAACAGAAAGUGAGAAAGUUCCAGAUCAUCUUGGGACAGGACGUAUACUUGAACUUGCCUGGAAUAACUGCUGUAAUGGCACAACCUCUCUGACUGCAGCUGUCAAAACUGGUCCAAAGAGGGUGGAAUGAGAUGGACACCAUUACCCUAAGUACAUGUAUGAAGCCUCGAAUGGUGUGAAUAUACUUUGUAUUCAACCAGAGAUAUGAAAAAUUGUGCUGUAUAUGUGUAAUAUGAAGUGUAAUACAUUUUUUCUGUCAUAUGUAACAAAUUAGAAUAAAAAAAAACUGGC